rnacentral:rRNA from 1 species
AGAGUUUGAUCAUGGCUCAGGAUGAACGCUAGCUACAGGCUUAACACAUGCAAGUCGAGGGGAAACGACAUCGAAAGCUUGCUUUUGAUGGGCGUCGACCGGCGCACGGGUGAGUAACGCGUAUCCAACCUGCCCACCACUUGGGGAUAACCUUGCGAAAGUAAGACUAAUACCCAAUGACGUCUCUAGAAGACAUCUGAAGGAGAUUAAAGAUUUAUCGGUGAUGGAUGGGGAUGCGUCUGAUUAGCUUGUUGGCGGGGUAACGGCCCACCAAGGCGACGAUCGAGUAGGGGUUCUGAGAGGAACGGUCCCCCACAUUGGAACUGGAGACACGGUCCAAACUCCGUACGGGAGGCA